rnacentral:rRNA from 1 species
AAACUCAAAGGAAUUGACGGGGGCCCGCACAAGCGGCGGAGCAUGUGGAUUAAUUCGAUGCAACGCGAAGAACCUUACCUGGGCUUGACAUACACCGGACCGGGCUAGAGAUAGUCCUUCCCUUGUGGCUGGUGUACAGGUGGUGCAUGGUUGUCGUCAGCUCGUGUCGUGAGAUGUUGGGUUAAGUCCCGUAACGAGCGCAACCCUUGUCUUAUGUUGCCAGCACAUUAUGGUGGGGACUCAUGAGAGACUGCCGGGGUCAACUCGGAGGAAG